UACGAAGGGGGCUAGCGUUGUUCGGAAUUACUGGGCGUAAAGCGUGCGCAGGCGGCUUCUCAAGUCAGGGGUGAAAGCCCAGAGCUCAACUCUGGAAUUGCCUUUGAGACUGAGGGGCUUGAGUACGAGAGAGGUGAGUGGAAUUCCCCGUGUAGAGGUGAAAUUCGUAGAUAUUGGGAAGAACACCGGUGGCGAAGGCGGCUCACUGGCUCGUAACUGACGCUCAUGCACGACAGCGUGGGGAUCAAACAGG
rnacentral:rRNA from 1 species